UUGUCUGUAGCUAAGCGGUAAAGCUACCAAAUCAUAAUUAGAUUAUCGCUGGUUAGAAUCCAGACGGGCGACCCA
rnacentral:tRNA from 1 species